UACAGAGGGGGCAAGCGUUGUUCGGAAUUACUGGGCGUAAAGGGCGCGUAGGCGGCCUGUUAAGUCGAACGUGAAAUCCCCGGGCUCAACCCGGGAACUGCGUCCGAUACUGGCAGGCUUGAGUUCGGGAGAGGAAUGUGGAAUUCCAGGUGUAGCGGUGAAAUGCGUAGAUAUCUGGAGGAACACCGGUGGCGAAGGCGGCAUUCUGGACCGAAACUGACGCUGAGGCGCGAAAGCCAGGGGAGCAAACGGG
rnacentral:rRNA from 1 species